CCUACGGGAGGCAGCAGUUAGGAAUAUUCGUCAAUGGGGGAAACCCUGAACGAGCAAUGCCGCGUGAAGGAAGACGGUCCUCUGGAUUGUAAACUUCUGUUGUAAGGGAAGAACGACCAUUAUAGGAAAUGAUAAUGGAGUGACGGUACCUUUCAAGAAAGCUCCGGCUAACUACGUGCCAGCAGCCGCGGUAAUACGUAGGGAGCGAGCGUUAUCCGGAAUUAUUGGGUGUAAAGCGUGUGUAGGCGGUGAUAUAAGUCUAAGGUUUAAGCCCGGAGCUCAACUCCGGAUCGCCUUAGAAACUG
rnacentral:rRNA from 1 species